rnacentral:rRNA from 1 species
AGAGCGAACGCUGGCGGCAGGCCUAAUACAUGCAAGUCGAACGGAUCCUUCGGGAUUAGUGGCGGACGGGUGAGUAACACGUGGGAACGUACCCUUUGGUUCGGAACAACUCAGGGAAACUUGAGCUAAUACCGAAUGUGCCCUUCGGGGAAAAGAUUUAUCGCCAUUGGAGCGGCCCGCGUCUGAUUAGCUAGUUGGUAGGGUAAAGGCCUACCAAGGCUACGAUCAGUAGCUGGUCUGAGAGGAUGAUCAGCCACACUGGGACUGAGACACGGCCCAGACUCCUACGGGAGGCAGCAGUAGGGAAUCUUGCGCAAUGGGCGAAAGCCUGACGCAGCCAUGCCGCGUGAAUGAUGAAGGUCUUAGGAUUGUAAAAAUUCUUUCAGCGGGGACGAUAAUGACGGUACCCGCAGAAGAAGCCCGGCUAACUUCGUGCCAGCAGCCGC